rnacentral:rRNA from 1 species
UACGGGGGGUGCAAGCGUUGUUCGGAUUCACUGGGUAUAAAGGGUGCGCAGGCGGACUGGUAAGUCAGAGGUGAAAUUUGUCGGCUCAACCGACAAACUGCCCCUGAAACUGCCAGCCUUGAGUCCGGGAGAGGUAGGUGGAAUUCCAGGUGUAGCGGUGAAAUGCGUAAAUAUCUGGAGGAACACCGGUGGCGAAGGCGGCCUACUGGCCCGGAACUGACGCUCAGGCACGAAAGCUAGGGGAGCGAACGGGAUUAGAUACCCCGGUAGUCCUAGCCGUAAACGAUGGGUACUAGGUGUUGGAGGAUUCUACCCCUUCAGUGCCGCAGCUAAUGCAUUAAGUACCCCACCUGGGGAGUACGAUCGCAAGGUUG